UACUUCAAACACUAGCCAUGACAACACACUCAAGGUUACGUUAAAAUCUGCUUAGGUAUAUUAGGUUACACUAAAUCUCUUCUUUUCUUUCUUUCUUCCUUUUCUUCCUCUCUAUCCUGACAAGCAAUUAACACACACAUACUUCAAACACUAGCCAUGACAACACACUCAAGGUUACGUUAAAAUCUGCUUAGGUAUAUUGGGUUACACUAAAUCUCUUCUUUUCUUUCUUUCUUUUUUUUU